UAGGGAAUACUAGAAAUGGACGAAAGUCUGAUCUAGCAACACCGCGUGUGCGAAGAAGGCCUUCGGGUUGUAAAGCACUUUUUGGAAGGAUUAGGAGGAAUGUACUUCCAGAAUAAGUCUCGGCUAACUACGUGCCAGCAGCCGCGGUAACACGUAGGAGGCAAACGUUAUCCGGAUUUACUGGGCGUAAAGCGCGUGUAGGUGGUUCUGUAAGUAGGGCGUGAAAGCUCCUGGCUCAACUGGGAGAGGCCGUUCUAAACUGCAGAGCUAGAGGAUGGUAGAGGGAGGUGGAAUUCCGGGUGUAGCGGUGGAACGCGCAGAUAUCCGGAGGAACACCAGUGGCGAAAGCGGCCUCCUGGACCAUUCCUGACACUCAGACGCGAAAGCUAGGGUAGCAAACGG
rnacentral:rRNA from 1 species